rnacentral:tRNA from 1 species
CAGGGAGACAACAAAAUGUUUAAUAUUAUUAUUUUGUCACCUUAGGUCGAUCGGUACCUCACGCUCUUAAUUCUUUAAGGAUUUCAUUUCCUAAGUUUUUCUAGGUCACACCCAUUAUUUUUCCUGGGCCAUUAGCUCAGGUGGUUAGAGCGCACCCCUGAUAAGGGUGAGGUCCCUGGUUCAAGUCCAGGAUGGCCCAUAUCUCUAUGUUGGGGGUAUAGCUCAGUUGGUAGAGCGCCUGCUUUGCAAGCAGGAUGUCAGCGGUUCGAGUCCGCUUACCUCCACUGAUACCACCUCUUCCAUAUUCUGUAGAAAGGAAAUGUUUUGAGUUGUGAUCAAAUUCUGAACGAAUCUAGCUUCCUAAUGAAACCAUUAAGAUGCUGGACUCAUUGAAUUAAUUUCAUUGUUUUCAGAGAACCUUGACAACUGCAUAGAUUAUUUUAAAGACAAUAAGCAUUUUUAAUGAUGCAGAUUUAUUAUUUGUGCGAAUGCAUUAAAUAACAAUUCUAUUAAGCUGAUGCUUCAAUUAUGAAGUUAUU